rnacentral:tRNA from 1 species
GCCUGUGUAGCUCAGUGGUAGAGCAUCAGUCUUGUAAACUGAGGUCCAUAGUUCGAUCCUUCGUUUUGGCA